rnacentral:piRNA from 1 species
UGCUUGGGGGGCACUGUGAACAGUGAGUGAC